rnacentral:lncRNA from 1 species
AUCAAAUUAAUAGUACAAAAAAGUCCAUCACUGCGCAGUAGUUGUUGAUCCAAAAAGCAGCAACAUAAAAUAACAGUUUUUCAAGUAUUCAAAAAACAACAGCAUAUCAAGCAUUCCAAAAAGCAACAGCAUAAAACAACAUGUAUUUUCAAAUAUUUCAAAAAGCAACAACAUAAAGUAACAUGUAUUUUCAAGCAUUCCAAAAAUCAACUACACAAAAUAACAGGUGAUUGCAAACAAAUGUUGCUAUGUCUAUUAUGGAUUCGUUUAUGGUUGUGUAUGGGUUGUUUAACAUAUGAGCAAAGUGUGGUUAGACAUUGGUUUGAAAUAGAAUAAUUAUUUUUGUCGGUUCAGAAUAAUUGUGUUGUGUUGAUUGUGGUUACUGAUUAAAACUACCUAUAAUCAUUACUUAGUAAGAGGAUGAGGUUUUAUGUAUUUAAUUUGUUUGUCUCAAUAUGGUUGUGUUGAAUGAAGAUUUUGUAAUGUAAAAUUCACUUUUAAUGUAAGGAGCGCAUUGUUCCCGGGAUGGUUAAGUGAAAAUUUUGAAAUGUAGAACUGUUAAUGUAAGCUGAAGAUUCCAAUAUAUAGAGAUUUGAUUGGACGGAAUCGGUUCAUUGUUGAUAUUUGCAAGCCUGAAAAGCUUUUUGCACCAAAGGUAUUAUUACAGAAUGUAGAAUUUGUCCUUUUGUGCUUUUGACUGAAUGAUAUAUAGUAUUGAUGCAAAUGUAUUAAUUUAAAAAGUAUUCAAUUUAAACAAGCAAGAUUGCUUGUACCGGAACAUGGAAGCACCGCUCCACUUGACACUCCUACCUUAAGGUAAAAAUAUUUUAUCAUUUUAUUAAUUUUUAAAUUUAUUAUUUGAUAUAACUGCAAAAAUAGAGAAAAAAAAGGGUUGAUGUAAGAGAGUUAUUGGAUUUUGAAUUUGGAGUUUUGAGGUUGGAGAUUUGGAGAGAGAGGGAAGGGAGGAUAGGUCUAGGAUUUAUAUUUAUAUAUUAUAUAUAUAUUUAUACAAUAAUAGAGUACUCUGACUACUAAUUAAGAGUAUCAUAAAUUAUAAACAAUAAAAAUCAAAUUAAUAGUACAAAAAAGUCCAUCAGUGCGCAGUAGCUGUUGAUCCAAAAAGCAACAACAUAAAAUAAUAGUUUUUUCAAGUAUUCAAAAAACUAGCAGCAUAAAGCAGCAAGUUGUUUCAAGCAUUCCAAAAAGCAACAUCAUGAAGUAAUAGAUAUUUGUAAAUAUUUCAAAAAGCAACAGCAUUAAGUAACAACUAUUUUAAAGCAUUCCAAAAUUCAACUACAUAAAGUAACAGGUGAUUGCAAACAAAUGUUGCUAUUUCUAUUAUGGAUUCGUGUGUAUUUGUUGUUUAACAUAUGAGCAAAGUGUGGUUAGACUUUAGUUUGAAAUAUAAUAAUUAUUUUUGUGUGUUCAGAAUGAAUGUGUUGUGUUGAAGGUUACUGAUUAAAACUACCUAUAAUAAUCAUUACUUAGUAAGAAUUGUGGAUGAGAUUUUAUGUAUUUAAUUUGUUUGUCUCAAUAUGGUUGGGUUGAAUGAAGAUUUUGUAAUGUAAAAUUCACUUUUAAUGUAAGGAGCACAUUGUUCCUGGGAUGGUUAAGUGAAAUUUUUGAAAUGUAGAAUUCACUAUUAAUGUAAGCUAAAGAUUGGAAGUAUAUAGAGAUUCGAUUGGAGAGGAAUCGGUUCAUUGUUGAUAUUUGCAAGCAUGAAAAGUUUUUUGCAUUAAAGGUAUUAUUACUAAAAGUAGAAUUUGUCCUUUUGUGCUUUUGACUGAAUGAUUUAUAGUAUUGAUGCAAAUGUAUUAACUUUUUGGGAAUUUAUUUGUAGGUUAUUAUACUGAUUUUUGCAAGAUUGCUCAAUUUAAAAAGUAUUCAGUUCCAAUGGGAGAUGAGGUACUACUUAUCUUAUUAGGUUUUUUUUACACUUGUGUUUAAACUGAGUAAACAGAAAAGAAAGAACAAUACCCGCUUGUUCUGGAACAUGGAAGCACCGCUCCACUUGACUCUCCUACUUUAAGGUAAAAAUAUUUUAUCAUUCUAUUAAUUUUUUAAUUUAAUAUUUGAUAAUUGCAAAAAUUGAGAAAAAGAAGGGUGGAUGCAAGAGAGUUAUUGGAUUUUGAAUUUGGAGGUUGGAGGUUGGAGAGAGAGGGAAGAGAGGGUAGGUCUAGGACUAGGUCUAGGUCAUAGAUUAUUAUUUUUAUAGGUUCUAAAUAUAUAUAUUUAUAUAUUAUAUAUAUUUAUAUUUAUUAUAAAUAUUUAUAUAUAUGUACUUAUAUAUACAAUAAUAGAGUAAUCUGACUACUAAUUAAGAGUAUCAUAUAAACAAUAAAAAUCAAAUUAAUAGUACAAAAAAGUCCAUCAGUGCACAGUAGUUGUUGAUCCAAAAAGCAACAACAUAAAAUAAUAGUUUUUUCAAGUAUUCAAAAAAGCAACAGUAUAAAGCAGGAAGUUGUUUCAAGAAUUCCAGAAACCAACAACAUAAAAUGUAAAUAUUUCAAAAAGCAAUAGCAGGUGAUUGCAAACAAAUGUUGCUAUUUCUUUUAUGGAUUCACUUAUGGUUAUGUAUUGAUUGUUUAACAUACGAGCAAAGUGUUGUUUGAAAUACAAUAAUUAUUUUUUUGUGUUCAGAAUGAAUGUGUUGUGUUGAUUGUGGGGUUACUGAUUAAAACUACCUAUAAUAAUCAUUACUUGGUAAGAAUUGUGGAUGAGGUUUUAUGUAUUUAAUAAUUUGUCUGUCUCAAUAUGAUUGGGUUGAAUGAAGAUUUUGUAAUGUAAAAUUCACUUUUAAUUGUAAGGAGCACGUUGUUCCUGGGAUGGUCAAGUGAAAUUUUUGAAAUGUAGAAUUCACUAUUAAUGUAAGCUGAAGAGUGGAAGUAUAUAGAGACGGAAUCGGUUCAUUGUUGAUAUUUGCAAGCCUGAAAAGCUUUUUGCACCAAAGGUAUUAUUACAGAAUGUAGAAUUUGUCCUUUUGUGCUUUUGACUGAAUGAUAUAUAGUAUUGAUGCAAAUGUAUUAAUUUAAAAAGUAUUCAAUUUAAACAAGCAAGAUUGCUUGUACCGGAACAUGGAAGCACCGCUCCACUUGACACUCCUACCUUAAGGUAAAAAUAUUUUAUCAUUUUAUUAAUUUUUAAAUUUAUUAUUUGAUAUAACUGCAAAAAUAGAGAAAAAAAAGGGUUGAUGUAAGAGAGUUAUUGGAUUUUGAAUUUGGAGUUUUGAGGUUGGAGAUUUGGAGAGAGAGGGAAGGGAGGAUAGGUCUAGGAUUUAUAUUUAUAUAUUAUAUAUAUAUUUAUACAAUAAUAGAGUACUCUGACUACUAAUUAAGAGUAUCAUAAAUUAUAAACAAUAAAAAUCAAAUUAAUAGUACAAAAAAGUCCAUCAGUGCGCAGUAGCUGUUGAUCCAAAAAGCAACAACAUAAAAUAAUAGUUUUUUCAAGUAUUCAAAAAACUAGCAGCAUAAAGCAGCAAGUUGUUUCAAGCAUUCCAAAAAGCAACAUCAUGAAGUAAUAGAUAUUUGUAAAUAUUUCAAAAAGCAACAGCAUUAAGUAACAACUAUUUUAAAGCAUUCCAAAAUUCAACUACAUAAAGUAACAGGUGAUUGCAAACAAAUGUUGCUAUUUCUAUUAUGGAUUCGUGUGUAUUUGUUGUUUAACAUAUGAGCAAAGUGUGGUUAGACUUUAGUUUGAAAUAUAAUAAUUAUUUUUGUGUGUUCAGAAUGAAUGUGUUGUGUUGAAGGUUACUGAUUAAAACUACCUAUAAUAAUCAUUACUUAGUAAGAAUUGUGGAUGAGAUUUUAUGUAUUUAAUUUGUUUGUCUCAAUAUGGUUGGGUUGAAUGAAGAUUUUGUAAUGUAAAAUUCACUUUUAAUGUAAGGAGCACAUUGUUCCUGGGAUGGUUAAGUGAAAUUUUUGAAAUGUAGAAUUCACUAUUAAUGUAAGCUAAAGAUUGGAAGUAUAUAGAGAUUCGAUUGGAGAGGAAUCGGUUCAUUGUUGAUAUUUGCAAGCAUGAAAAGUUUUUUGCAUUAAAGGUAUUAUUACUAAAAGUAGAAUUUGUCCUUUUGUGCUUUUGACUGAAUGAUUUAUAGUAUUGAUGCAAAUGUAUUAACUUUUUGGGAAUUUAUUUGUAGGUUAUUAUACUGAUUUUUGCAAGAUUGCUCAAUUUAAAAAGUAUUCAGUUCCAAUGGGAGAUGAGGUACUACUUAUCUUAUUAGGUUUUUUUUACACUUGUGUUUAAACUGAGUAAACAGAAAAGAAAGAACAAUACCCGCUUGUUCUGGAACAUGGAAGCACCGCUCCACUUGACUCUCCUACUUUAAGGUAAAAAUAUUUUAUCAUUCUAUUAAUUUUUUAAUUUAAUAUUUGAUAAUUGCAAAAAUUGAGAAAAAGAAGGGUGGAUGCAAGAGAGUUAUUGGAUUUUGAAUUUGGAGGUUGGAGGUUGGAGAGAGAGGGAAGAGAGGGUAGGUCUAGGACUAGGUCUAGGUCAUAGAUUAUUAUUUUUAUAGGUUCUAAAUAUAUAUAUUUAUAUAUUAUAUAUAUUUAUAUUUAUUAUAAAUAUUUAUAUAUAUGUACUUAUAUAUACAAUAAUAGAGUAAUCUGACUACUAAUUAAGAGUAUCAUAUAAACAAUAAAAAUCAAAUUAAUAGUACAAAAAAGUCCAUCAGUGCACAGUAGUUGUUGAUCCAAAAAGCAACAACAUAAAAUAAUAGUUUUUUCAAGUAUUCAAAAAAGCAACAGUAUAAAGCAGGAAGUUGUUUCAAGAAUUCCAGAAACCAACAACAUAAAAUGUAAAUAUUUCAAAAAGCAAUAGCAGGUGAUUGCAAACAAAUGUUGCUAUUUCUUUUAUGGAUUCACUUAUGGUUAUGUAUUGAUUGUUUAACAUACGAGCAAAGUGUUGUUUGAAAUACAAUAAUUAUUUUUUUGUGUUCAGAAUGAAUGUGUUGUGUUGAUUGUGGGGUUACUGAUUAAAACUACCUAUAAUAAUCAUUACUUGGUAAGAAUUGUGGAUGAGGUUUUAUGUAUUUAAUAAUUUGUCUGUCUCAAUAUGAUUGGGUUGAAUGAAGAUUUUGUAAUGUAAAAUUCACUUUUAAUUGUAAGGAGCACGUUGUUCCUGGGAUGGUCAAGUGAAAUUUUUGAAAUGUAGAAUUCACUAUUAAUGUAAGCUGAAGAGUGGAAGUAUAUAGAGACGGAAUCGGUUCAUUGUUGAUAUUUGCAAGCAUGAAAAGCUUUUUGCACCAAAGGUAUUAUUACUAAAAGUAGAAUUUGUCCUUUUAUGUUUUUGACUGAAUGAUUUAUAGUAUUGAUGCAAAUAUAUUAACUUUUUGGAAAUUUUUUUGUAGGUUAUUAUACUGAUUUUUGCAAGAUUGCUCAAUUAAAAAAGUAACCAGUUCCAAUGGGAUAUGAGGUACUACUUAUCUUAUUAUUUUUUUACACUUAUGUGUUUAAACUGAGUAAACAAGUUUGGAAAGAACAACACCCGCUUGUACUGGAGCAUGGAAGCACCGCUCAACUUGACCCUCCUAUUUUAAGGUAAAAAUAUUUUAUCGUUCUAUUAAUUUUUAAAUUUAAUAUUUGAUAUAAUUAACAAAAAUACAGAAAAAGAAGAGUGGAUGUAAGAGAUUUAUUGGAUUUUGAAUUUGGAGGUUGAAGGUUGGAGAGAGAGGGAAGAGAGGGUAGGUCUAGGACUAGGUCUAGGUAUAGGUCAUAGAUUAUUAUUUUUAUAGGUUCUAAAUAUAUAUAUUUAUAUAUUAUAUAUAUUUAUAUUUAUUAUAAAUAUCUAUAUAUAUGUACUUAUCUACAAUAAUAUAGUCUGACUACUAAUUAAUAGUAUCAUAAAUUAUAAACAAUAAAAAUCAAAUUAAUAGUACAAAAAAGUCCAUCAGUGCACAGUAGUUGUUGAUCCAAAAAGUAACAGCAUAAAAUAACAGUUUUUUCAAGUAUUCAAAAAAGCAACAGUAUAGAGCAGCAAGUUGUUUCAAGCAUUCCAAAAAGCAACAACAUAAAGUAAUAGAUAUUUCUAAAUAUUUCAAAAAGCAACAACAUAAAGUAACAACUAUUUUCAAGCAUUCCAAAAAUCAACUACAUAAAGUAACAGAUGAUUGCAAACAAAUGUUGUUAUCUCUAUUAUGGAUUCGUUUAUGGCUGUGUAUUGGUUGUUUAACAUAUGAGCAAAGUGUGGUUAGACAUUAGUUUGAAAUACAAUAAUUAUUUUUGCGUGUUCAGAAUCUCGUGUUGUGUUGAUUAUGGGGUUACAGAUUAAAAUUACCUAUAAUAAUCAUUACUUAGUAAGAAUUGUGGAUGAGGUUUUAUGUAUUUAAUUUGUUUGUCUCAAUAUGGUUGGGUUGAAUGAAAAUUUUGUAAUGUAAAAUUCACUUUUAAUGUAAGGAGCACAUUGUUUCUGGGAUGGUUAAGUGAAAUUUUUGAAAUGUAGAAUUCACUUUUAAUGUAAGCUGAAUAUUGGAAGUAUAUAGAGAUUCGAUUGGACGGAAUAGGUUCAUUGUUGAUAUUUGCAAACAUGAAAAACUUUUUGCACCAAAGGUAUUAUUACUAAAAGUAGAAUUUGUCCUUUUGUGCUUUUGACUGAAUGAUUUAUAGUAUUGAUGCAAAUGUAUUAAUUUUUUGGAAAUUUUUUUGUAGGUUAUUAUACUAAUUUUUGCAAGAUUGCUCAAUUUAAAAAGUAUUCAGUUCCAAUGGGAUAUGAGGUACUACUUAUCUUAUUAGUUUUUUUUACACUUGUGUGUUUAAACUGAGUAAACAAGUUUGGAAAGAAUAACACCCGCUUGUACUGGAACAUGGAAGCAUCGCUCCACUUGACUCUCCUACUUUAAGGUAAAAAUAUUUUAUCAUUCUAUUAAUUUUUAAAUUUAAUAUUUGAUAUAACUGCAAAAAUAGAGAAAAAGAAAAGUGGAUGUAAGAGAGUUAUUGAAUUUUGAAUUUGGAGGUUGGAGGUUGGAGAGAGAGGGAAGAGAAGGUAGGUCUACUAGGUCUAGGUUUAGGUGAUAGAUUAUUAUUUUUAUAGGUUCUAAAUAUAUAUAUAUAUAUAUAUAUAUAUUUAUAUAUUAUAUAUAUUUAUAUUUAUUAUAAAUAUUUAUAUAUAAUAUGUAUAUCUACAAUAAUAUAGUACUUUGACUACUAAUUAAGAGUAGCAUAAAUUAUAAACAAUAAAAAUCAAAUUAAUAGUACAAAAAAGUUCAUCAGUGCACAAUAGUUGUUGAUCCAAAAAGCAACAGCAUAAAAUAACAGUUUUUCCAAGUAUUUAAAAAACCAACAGCAUAAAGCAGCAAGUUGUUUCAAGCAUUCCAAAAAGCAACAACAUAAAGUAAUAGGUAUUUGUAAAUAUUUCAAAAAGCAACAGCAUAAAGUAACAGCUAUUUUCAAGCAUUCCAAAAAUCAACUACAUAAACUAACAGUGAUUGCAAACAAAUGUUGCUAUUUCUAUUAUGGAUUCGUUUAUGGUUGUGUAUUGGUUGUUUAACAUAUGAGCAAAGUGUGGUUAAACAUUGGUUUGAAAUACAAUAAUUAUUUUUGUGUGUUCAGAAUGAAUGUGUUGUGUUGAUUGUGGUUACUGAUUAAGACUACCUAUAAUAAUCAUUACUUAGUAAGAAUUGUGGAUGAGGUUUUAUGUAUUUAAUUUGUUUGUCUCAAUAUGGUUGUGU